rfam:Gasterosteus aculeatus cont1.012159, whole genome shotgun sequence.
CUAGCUGCUGAUUGUCCAAACGCAAUUCUUGUAAAAUCUCAAAUGCAAACCCGAGAAUUGUGCCUGGACAUCUGUCGCUGG